ACUCCUACGGGAGGCAGCAGUGGGGAAUAUUGCACAAUGGGGAAAGCCAUCGAUGCAGCCAUGCCGCGUGUGUGAAGAAGGCCUUCGGGUUGUAAAGCACUUUCAGUGAGGGAGGAAGGUAGUGUAGUUAACACCUGCAUUAUUUGACGUUACCUACAGAAGAAGCACCGGCUAACUCCGUGCCAGCAGCCGCGGUAAUACGGAGGGUGCGAGCGUUAAUCGGAAUUACUGGGCGUAAAGCGUGCGUAGGCGGUUAUAUAAGCUAGAUGUGAAAGCCCGGGGCUUAACCUCGGAACUGCAUUUAGAACUGUAUGGACUAGAGUUUUGUAGAGGGUGGUGGAAUUUCCAGUGUAGCGGUGAAAUGCGUAGAGAUUGGAGGACAUCAGUGGCGAAGGCGGCCACCUGGCAAAAANUGACGCUGAGGCACGAAAGCGUGGGUAGCAAACAGGAUUAGAUACCCUGGUAGGCUCUG
rnacentral:rRNA from 1 species